rnacentral:rRNA from 1 species
UACCAGCACCCCGAGUGGUCGGGACGUUUAUUGGGCCUAAAGCAUCCGUAGCCGGUUCUACAAGUCUUCCGUUAAAUCCACCUGCUUAACAGAUGGGCUGCGGAAGAUACUAUAGAGCUAGGAGGCGGGAGAGGCAAGCGGUACUCGAUGGGUAGGGGUAAAAUCCGUUGAUCCAUUGAAGACCACCAGUGGCGAAGGCGGCUUGCCAGAACGCGCUCGACGUG